GCCAUCUUAGCUCAGUUGGCAGAGCGUUCGCCUCGUAUGUACGAAUAGUAAGCGAAAGGCCGCCGGUUCGAUUCUGGUAGUUGGCA